GAUGAACGCUGGCGGCGUGCCUAAUACAUGCAAGUCGAGCGAAUGGAUUGAGAGCUUGCUCUUAUGAAGUUAGCGGCGGACGGGUGAGUAACACGUGAGUAACCUGCCCAUAAGACUGGGAUAACUCCGGGAAACCGGGGCUAAUACCGGAUAACAUUUUGAACCGCAUGGUUCGAAAUUGAAAGGCGGCUUCGGCUGUCACUUAUGGAUGGACCCGCGUCGCAUUAGCUAGUUGGUGAGGUAACGGCUCACCAAGGCAACGAUGCGUAGCCGACCUGAGAGGGUGAUCGGCCACACUGGGACUGAGACACGGCCCAGACUCCUACGGGAGGCAGCAGUAGGGAAUCUUCCGCAAUGGACGAAAGUCUGACGGAGCAACGCCGCGUGAGUGAUGAAGGCUUUCGGGUCGUAAAACUCUGUUGUUAGGGAAGAACAAGUGCUAGUUCAAUAAGCUGGCACCUUGACGGUACCUAACCAGAAAGCCACGGCUAACUACGUGCCAGCCGCCGCCGUAA
rnacentral:rRNA from 1 species